rnacentral:misc_RNA from 1 species
GUAUAGAGAAGCAAGGGUCUUAUUGUUAGAGUGUGGAAAGUAGUUACCACCAACGGAGCGGAAAUCAUAAUCUGGGACCUUAAAGGCAGGUUCAGAACCAAGGCCAACUUCUGACACAACAGAAGCUAUUACAGCGCUAAGUAUAACCAUGGAAGUAGUGUUUGUGAGAGAUGCAGACGAAUCUAACGACGACGGCCACAAGACAGACUCCACGGCGAAGA